rnacentral:rRNA from 1 species
CAAUAGCAUAUAUUAACGUUGUUGCAGUUGAAAAGCUCGUAGUUGAACUUUUGGUAGGAGCGACCUGGCCUUGGGCGCAUGCCCUUGUUUGCCGUGUGUCGUAUCUGGCCAUCCUUUUCUUCUUCGGAAGGAAUCUUUUACUGUGAGUAAACUGGAGUGCUCAAAACAAGACGUUUGUUUGAUACAUUAAAGCAUGGAAUAAUAAGAUAGGACCUGGUUACUAUUUUGUUGGUUUGCAUAGCUAGGUAAUGAUUAACAGGGACAGUUGGGGGUAUUCGUAUUUAAUUGUCAGAGGUGAAAUUCUUGGAUUUAUGAAAGACGAACGACUGCGAAAGCAUUUACCAAGGAUGUUUUCAUUAA